UACGUAGGGAGCAAGCGUUGUCCGGAAUCAUUGGGCGUAAAGCGCGCGUAGGCGGCCUCAUAAGUCCGUUGUGAAAGUCAAAGGCUCAACCUUUGAAAGCCGAUGGAUACUGUGAGGCUAGAGUCCGGAAGAGGCGAGUGGAAUUCCUGGUGUAGCGGUGGAAUGCGCAGAUAUCGGGAGGAACACCAAUGGCGAAGGCAGCUUGCUGGGACGGUACUGACGCUGAGGCGCGAAAGCGUGGGGAGCAAACAGG
rnacentral:rRNA from 1 species